rnacentral:rRNA from 1 species
GACGAACGCUGGCGGCGUGCUUAACACAUGCAAGUCGAACGGAAAGGCCCUGCUUGCAGGGUACUCGAGUGGCGAACGGGUGAGUAACACGUGGGUGAUCUGCCCUGCACUUCGGGAUAAGCCUGGGAAACUGGGUCUAAUACCGGAUAGGAGCCAUUUUUAGUGUGAUGGUUGGAAAGUUUUUUCGGUGUAGGAUGAGCUCGCGGCCUAUCAGCUUGUUGGUGGGGUAAUGGCCUACCAAGGCGGCGACGGGUAGCCGGCCUGAGAGGGUGGACGGCCACAUUGGGACUGAGAUACGGCCCAGACUCCUACGGGAGGCAGCAGUGGGGAAUAUUGCACAAUGGGCGCAAGCCUGAUGCAGCGACGCCGCAUGGGGGAUGACGGCCUUCGGGUUGUAAACUCCUUUCGCUAGGGACGAAGCUUUUUGUGACGGUACCUAGAGAAGAAGCACCGGCUAACUACGUG